UGCCUGGUUACCUGUGCCCAAGGAAUUCUGGGUAUAUCAUGUGAUCACACAUCACAUGACGCAUCACCUGAUCUUAGGAAGGUCCUAUACAGGAUAUUCUCUUCAGUUUGUCUUGUCCUGUUGUGCAUUUGUUGUUUGCACUUUACCUGAGCCACAAGACUUAUUACUCCCAUUGGUCACUGACGUCUAACGUCCAUGUAAGAAUAUGACUGGGAUCAUCUUCAUCCUUGGCCUCCUGACCCGAGGCCCCUAGACCAGGUCCGAUCUAUAGUAGUCUUCAUCUGGAUUAUACCUUGACUUGGAGACACGUCGUGUGGAUUAAACCAUACACUGACAGCGGAGAAUCGGAUGAUACAAAUUAGAGUGUAAGCUCUUCUGCACCGGCCGGUGAGCGGCAUCAGGACGUGUCCUCGUUUUUUGUAGAGGGGCAGGUUGUCUAUGCUUUUUAUGCUUUUUUUUGUUUGUUUUUUAUGGAGUAAACCCUGAACUUUGCAUAGGACUGCCGGACCGGUUACCUAGCAGAGCCGUAGACAAGGGCCGUCCUAUUCCGGCUUCUCAAAGGGACAUUUCUUCAUUUUGUAUUUUUUUUUUGUUGUUUAAUUAGUCCAGCCAUUUAUUCGGCGCAUGCAUGAGGGAGCAGUAAUACGCUAUGGCAGUUCCCACCAUAUUCCGCUCCAGAUUCCCCAGUCCCUGCCAAAUCGGACGCAUUAACCCUUCAGCCUCUGCAACAAUGCCCCCCCCCUCCUCCCCCCAGCCCUAUAUGGCAAUACACCUUACAGUUUGCUAUGUUACGGCAGGUGAUUAUACAACAUCCAUAGGGCAGGGCCCUUUUCGUACACUUUUUCGAAAAAUACCCAUAAGUCCCCAACAAUGUCCAGAUAUUUAAAAAAUAGGAAUAUAAGGAAAUUGCACCAGUUUCGGAUAUAGGUUGCAUGGAUUUCUGCCAAACUCCAUUCGGGUGAAUGAUAGAAAUUUCUGCAGCUAUAUAAAAUGCAACCAGGGUGGCUCCAGCUGUUGCAAAACGACAACUCCCAGCAUGCCCGUAAUGCUGGGAUUUGUAGUUUUGUAACAGCUGGA